rnacentral:RNase_P_RNA from 1 species
CGAGCUGGCCGGGCGGCCGCGUGACCGGGUGACCGGUCCCGAGGAAGGUCCGGGCUCCACAGGGCAAGGUGGUGGGCAACGCCCACCCGGGGUGACCCGCGGGACAGUGCCACAGAAAGCAGACCGCCGCCGGUGCUCGCACCGGCGGUAAGGGUGAAACGGUGGUGUAAGAGACCACCAGCACCCCGGGUGACCGGGGUGGCUCGGUAAACCCCACCUGGAGCAAGAUCAAGAGGGCGGACUCCGGUCCGCCUGCGUGAGCGUCCGAGGGCGGCCCGCCCGAGCUCACGGGUAGAUCGCACGAGGCUGUCGGCAACGGCAGCCCUAGAUGGAUGGUCGCCCCUCGCCUCGCGAGGACAGAACCCGGCCUACAGGCCAGCUCGUCCC